UACGAAGGGUGCAAGCGUUAAUCGGAAUUACUGGGCGUAAAGCGUGCGCAGGCGGGUUGUUAAGUCUGUUGUGAAAUCCCCGAGCUCAACUUGGGAAUUGCAAUGGAUACUGGCAGGCUGGAGUAUGGUAGAGGAAGGUGGAAUUCCCGGUGUAGCAGUGAAAUGCGUAGAGAUCGGGAGGAACACCAGUGGCGAAGGCGGCCUUCUGGACCAAUACUGACGCUCAUGCACGAAAGCGUGGGGAGCAAACAGG
rnacentral:rRNA from 1 species